UCGACCGAGCAAUUUGAAACCAGAUUCCGCUUGCAAUAACCAAAACGCAAAGUAUGAUGUGUAACUUUCUAGAGACGUACCACAAAAGCGGGAAAUUAGUGCGCUGAAAAUGGUUCAUUCCUAAAGUACGACGUGCAAAACCGAACGCGCCGCACCCCGCUAUAACUCUGAGAAAAUCCACCGAACGGAUGAUGCUCCCAGUCAAGCCCCUGCGACGCUGUAAUUCGAUAGUUCCAUUUAAUAGGCGGGCUUUCAGUGGAAAGAUCGGCCAGCUAUUGGCUGACGGUCACGUCAAUCAAGUGCUGAUUUGAAUUAGCAGGUCAGGUUGCAGUUGCAGGGGAGUGGGCAGGGUUGGGAUAGAUAGCGCCAGUGAGCUGAACUUCUGCUGCUGUAGUGUACUAUCAUCAGUUUAAUACUUUAUUUCAGAAAUUAUUUUAUUUGACGAAAACUGCUGUAGCCUUGUGUGUUUUUAUCAUCUCCAUUGAGAACUGUUGGAUUUGCUCUUCAUCCAGUAAUUAACGGGUUUAUCGGGAAGUUAAGAUGUUUACAGGGAUCCAGUGGCAUCCGAUCCUGUGAUUUCUGAAAGCAGCAGCCUUGGGGACGUCCCACCAGAGACUCCUGAAGGGGUCGAGGCGGACACGGUCACUGGAGAGACGCUUUAGGGUCCCCCGUCCCACGCAUCGUGUGCUAUGAUCAAUGGAGAUGUGGUCUGACAUCAGUGCAUACGUGCAGCGUGUCACAGACAUGUGCUCCUGAUUUAACUUGCAUCUCUAGAUGAAGCUGCUUCACUCACUCAUACUUUAUAUUUAACAAUAAUCUUGUUUUCCAAACUGUUGAACUUGUACAGUAAUGAAAAUACAGUAGCUGUGGGAGUGUCUGAGCUGGACUGAGUUAGCUGUCCUCUCCUUUAAUUAAUCACAGUAAUAACUCAACGUUCAUUCUGAUCAGCAUUUUCACUUUUGGUUAAAGAAUUAUAUUAUAUUGUGAAAAUUAGUCAAAUAAAUCAAAAAGAUUCAAA